GAUGAGAACGUAGCGAAAUGCGAUAAGUAAUGUGAAUUGCAGAAUUCAGUGAAUCAUCGAAUCUUUGAACGCACAUUGCGCCCGUCAGUAUUCUGGCGGGCAUGCCUGUUCGAGCGUCAUUACGCCCCUCAAGUCCCCUGUGGACUUGGUGUUGGGGAUCGGCGAGGCUGGUUUUCCAGCACAGCCGUCCCUUAAAUUAAUUGGCGGUCUCGCCGUGGCCCUCCUCUGCGCAGUAGUAAAACACUCGCAACAGGAGCCCGGCGCGGUCCACUGCCGUAAAACCCCCCAACUUUUUAUAGUUGACCUCGAAUCAGGUAGGACUACCCGCUGAACUUAAGCAUAUCAAUAAGCGGAGGA
rnacentral:misc_RNA from 1 species